AUUCAAAAAAUAAAAUUUCAUUGAAAAAAAUAGAGAAAGAGAACAUUUGAGACUACAGGGAAGAAAGAGGACAGAGAGGGUAGCUGGUGAGUGCUAACAAACCAAGCAAACACAGAAGUUAACAACUGUGAGUGCAAAAAUAACAUUUCCCACCAGCAAAGAUGGGAAAACCAGAGCCAAAAGCCAACCGAGUCCGUGGCUCAAAUGCUUCAUGAAUGUGCGCGCCUAGGCUGGCCACCAUUGCUCUCGCCAUCCCACAGAUGCCCCAGAUCUUUUUACCCCUAGCACAGGAAAGGUCUGGAAGCUGGACUCAUAGUUCUCUGGUCCUUACAAGUCAGAACUAUAAGACUUAGAAGUCCUCCAUGUUCUCAAACUUUCCUUCCCCUAAGCUUAAUGCAACCCUAGAUGUCGAACUCAGUGACAUCAGAUCAGCAAAUAUUUUUUGGGACGUCUGCCUGGGAAGAACAUAGCAUAAGGGACAAGACUAGGGUCAGUGCCCCUUUAUUUUCUAAUCACCACACUUUUCUGUUUCUGCCCCGCACACUCCCUGUGUUGCUAAGCUAAAAGGGUCAAGUUGGCAUCGGUCUUCAGCACAUACCAAGUCCCAUGUAGGGGGGAAUCCAACAAAACAAAAGGUAAAGAGGAAGAAGAGGUAGGGUCUAUUUCAUUUGGUUUGGGCCCUGCCUACUUUCCAUUAACCCCACCCAGCUGGCCUUUCCAUCCUCAGGCACCUAUCUGGAGCUCGAGUGCACAUCCCCCUGACGUCCAGGAUCCACUUGUCCCUCUAUCAGAAAACAGGAAGAGGGAAUGUCCAGCAUUUCAGCAGGGCCAGUGCCGCUGUCUACGUAGCCUGCUUGUGCCACCAGUCAGAAAGCCUUACUUGCACACAACUCCCAUUCUUUUUUAUUGGUUAAACACAUGGACAGUAUGCUCAUUCACUCUGAUGACCUGAAUUCUUCUCAGAGAGGUACUAAAUUCCUCCUCCUAUGAAUCUAUGGUCUAUCGUAGGCCAGCCCAGACCCCAUUGCCUCCCCAUUAACCCUACUUUUCCAAGUCACCGCUGAAAUCAGGCUGCUUCAGGGAGCCUCUCCGGCCCACUGCUCAUUCCCGUAUCAGGUGAGGCCGCUCUGACACACCUUCUCCUUAACACUCAGCGCUCACUAAGUAUUUACUGUCAUUCUCCCCUCCCCCCGCCUCACUAUCAGACCUGUGUUCUGCAGACCUUAAAAAAUGCAAAAGAAUCUACAGAGAUUUUUUCAAAAAUGCAAAUUCUCAGUCAUCUCUUCCCAGAAACUCUGAUUCUGACAGAGGCUUGGGACCUUCUUUUGACCAAAGUGAUUCAUACACAGGUGACCCUCACAUAGCACUGUCCCAAAAUUUAGCUCUCAGAGGGUACAGUUCGCAUGUUAAUCAUAAGUCAUUUCCCGACUCCUCGGUGCUGGGCCAAGCACAGAGCUGGCAUUUGAUAAACACUGAAUUGAAACCAGGAUGUUUUGAGUCUGGCUCCCCCCACACCCGUGGUCCUCACUGUCCAGCCCUCACACAACAGGGCAGACCAUCCCUGAAUCAUACGCAGACCUUGGAAGCCCCUGAGUUGUACAAAGCACUUCAAGGCUGUCGUGCCCAGGGUCCCCCAACGCCUAUGGAACUUUCACUUACUCUCUUUUGGAAGAACAAAUCGGCCCAUUCCUUAUCCAAAUAAAGCUUGCAAGGGAAAAACUGACAUGGUCUUGGCAAAUAAGGGUUUCUAUUAUUGAAGCUGGGGCUUUGUACAACUGCUUCCUACUUCAUGGAGUGUGUCUAUUUUAAGUGUGUGGCCAGUGCUUGAGAAAUCCCAGCAGGCUCUGGAUGAGACAGGACCAUCCUCAUUAACACUAAUGGGAGGUAGGCUCCUGCACUAAAGAAAGCACGCAUCCUCUGGGCCAGGCCUACUGGGUAACAGGAUGGGAACAGGAAGACCUGGGGUGCAAGUCGGGGGAAUGUGAGGACCACCCUUAAUUUCAUUCUAUCCAAGAAUUUGGUGACAGGGUAGGGAAACCAAUUAAGAUAGCCAGUGAUAAAAAUAGUCAUGGGGAUGCAAAGUACAGCAUAGGGAAUACAGUCAAUAAUACUGUAAUAACUAUGGAUGGUGCCAGGUGGGUACUGGACUUACCAGGGUGAUGGACUUGUAAGGUACAUAAACUUCUAAUUGCUGUGUGGUACACCUGAAACUAAUAUAAUAUUGUAUGCUAACUAUAACUGAAAAGUAAAUCUACGAACAUACAAAAAUACAAAACAAUGAUGGGCUGCUGGGCUAAGAAAGUCCAAGCUUCUGAAAAAAUGCCAUCAUUUGACAUUCUAUGCAACUGAAAUGGUAUCACACUGGGGUGGGAGGUGAAACACUUAUUCACUCAUCAACUGUUUUUUCCAGCAUAAAUAGGGCUGGAAUGCAAUGAUGAUGAUGAAGAAAGUAUCUGUUCACAUGGAAUUAUCAUUCCCUGGGUGGCAGAGAGAGAAUCAUACAAUUAACAAGGAAACACAAACGUGAUUCCAGUGACAGCAGGGACUUCAUCUGUGUUGCUCACAGCCGUACCCGCUGCACCAGGCCCAGUAGUGUGGACUCCAUAAACAUUUGUUAAAGGGCAAAUGGAAGAGUGAAUGGGUAAAUGAAUGGAUGGUUCCAUGGAAAGAUGGGAGGGAAGGUGGGAGAAAAAGCGAACAAGAAAGGCUUCUCUUGAGAAGGUGACAUUUGAGCUGAGAAGCAAGAAAGAGGCCGUCAUGAAUGUUUUGCAGGAAAAGUUCCAGAAAGAAGAAACACCAAGUUCCCAAGGCAUGGACAGAUGUGGCAUGUCAGAAGAAGGCCAGUGAGGCCACAGGGUGGUGGAAAGCAGCCCUGGGCAAUGGAGACCACCGUGGCAGGGUUAGAGACUGGUGCACACGGUGAGGAGGAGGAUGGAAAACACUAAGGAGCUGUGUUAGUAACUUGGUCCUGCUGGCAUUUUCGGAGCCUCUGAUACAUAAAAAAGAUUCUAUGCCAAUGGCUAUGGAGAAUACAAAGGCUUGUUUACCCCAAGAGAGUUAGCCAGAAUUUUUUAACAAUGAAAUCUUAAGGUAUUCAUUUUGCAAACAACAUGGAAGAAUCAAUCACAAGCGUUUUGCAAGCCUAAGAUCUGCACAAGACAUUCUUUUGGGUAGCUCUUACCUUUAUUAUUUAAAGAGUUAAACAAACUGGUAAUGAAAGUACUAAGAUUCCAUUGAGGAAAUCCUCAAUGAGAGGAAAGGAGAGAAGUUACGAAAAGGGCGUGCAAACAGUAAAUGCACACGUGGAAGAGAAGUGUACUCUGAAGCCCAAUUUCCACCUAUUAGAGGAGGGAAAAGUCUGUAUCAUGACAACAUGCAAUAUUGGCGAAGAUCUAGAGAAACUGGCACUCUCACAAAUAAAGCUGGGAGCGCAAGCUGCUGGAAAACCAUUUGAUGUUAUGCACUGAGAGCCAUGAAAAUGUUUAUAAUGUCUGAAGAAGUAAUUCCUCUUCUGAGAUGUAUCACAAGGCUUUCAAAGUACUUUCUGCAAAGCCCCAGCCAGGGUUCUGCAGAGGUGCCUCGAGGCCUCUGGAGAUGAUGAAAGUGAAAGAGGGGUUUGGGUUUGGGGAUUGUCCCCUGUGAUGCCUGCACAGUUCUGUUUUAUGUAUCCUUGAAUAUGUAACAGAGGUUAUCAGAAAAGGGGGUGCGGAUACUUAAUUUAAAAAAAAAAAACUACUCUCUUAAAGAAAUAACCCAAAUUGUAAAAAUGAACAUGUUCAUCAUAUUACUUACAAUAUUGAAAAUUUUUAAAAACAAUUUUUAAUAGUAGGAAAAUAAUUGAUUAUUCAUUAAAUAUGGGAUAUGUAAAGACAUGGAAAAUUAUAUGUACAAUAUAAUAAUCAGAAUCAUUUUCUACAUAAUUAUAUAUAAUUGGAAUUUAAAACGAAAAAUACAAAAUUGUGGUGACACCAUCCUAACUUUGUAAAGAUGCACAUGGAUGAAAAAAUGCAACACGGUGAGUAUGGUCGGACUGUGAGGUGUUUCUUUCCUUUUUACUUCUGUCCCGGUUUUUCUGUAAUCUAGUUAAACUACUUUUAUAACUUAUUAAAGAAAAGAAUGUCUAACAGUAACCUGGGUGGCCAGGGGCCCACGUAUUAUUAUUCAUCUCUGCAUCUCAGCAUCAAGCAAAGGAGCCUGCAGAGAAGAGAAACUCCACAACUACUGGCUGAUGAAACCGAUGUUUCAAUUAGAAUUUGAUCAUGAAUGAAGCAGUAGAGAGGGGCAAGAGAGGCCUUUUCUGGAGGAGCCAGAGGAAGGCCGGGGGAAAGACAGCGGGAGGAAUAAGGGGCGUCAGAACUGGGAGACCGAGCAAGCAGUGAAAGUGUGGGGCGAAAGGAAGGAGUCUGGGCUGCAGAAACGAGGCACCCGGAGGAUAUCUGAGGAAUAUGGGGCUGACAUAGUGGUCUGAGCCCACAGGUCAAACAGUCUAGGCUUUGCUCAGGAGGCAGAGGGCUCCGGUGAACUUUUCUGAGCAGAGGUGACAUGAUCAGAGCCGGACCUGGUGAAGACUAACACCAGCUGGAGGGCCACUGAGAGAUCUCAGGCUAGGAGCUGUGGGAAGGGAUAGCUCAGGACCAUCAAGUGGGAAGGGACUAUACGUAAACUCUCCAACAAAAUGCCUGGAAUCCACAAAGACAUAUAAUCUGCACUUAAGAAAUCUGUACAUUUCAGGGAAUCAGUAACGCCCUCCUUGCCUCCCCAUCUCAACCAGGCUUUCUUUAGUGCCCGAGCAUGCGUGUGCACAUCCAGCGAUUAAAGCCUCAUCGUUUCUAACAUUUGUUUAUUGGCGGUCCCAAAUGUUUCCUGUGCUAUAUAAAGUUUACCUUCGACCUCCACGGGGGGAAGCAAAGGGUGGAGCAGGGAGGAGGAGAAAUCUGCCUCGGACUUACCAGCGUACUGCUUCCAGUUUUAAAAUAAUGCAUUAACUCCGAGGCCCCAAUCAGAAGGUUGCAAACCCACAUAAAGCGCCGGUGAUUUAGAGCUCCCUGCUCUACACAGUUCAGCAAUGCAUGGAAUGUAGAAAUACGUGGAAACCACAACACAGCAGGGAUCUGGCUGCACUGCUGGCAGCGACUGCCGGUUCCCACACAGGCCCUAAAUCUGACCCAGCCAUGAAACUUUUAAAAUUUGUAAAAAUAGAACAGUUGGGAAAUCUUGGCCACUUUUAGUUAAAAUAAAAAACAAAACCUCCAUAUUUGUGGGUGCAGUUGAAAAUCUUCCCUACUCCUCCCCCCUUUGAAGAAAUUUUCAUGGUUAAAAAAAUUUUUUUGGAUCGCUGGGGGAAGGGAGGUAUAAAGGGACUAAAUGGUAAUGGAAAAAAUACAAUAAAAAUUAUAUUAAAGCAUUUGGUUUUUUCGAAUGUCAAACUGUGUUUUCCUUUUAGGUUACCUAGCAAAUAUAAUCCAGGAGGCUCUAGAAUAUGGAGAUUGUGUUUGGUUUAGAAUCUCCAUCAAGAUCAGUUGCAAAAUGUCCAAUAAACACCAACGGGUUGUAACAAAUAUCCUCACUUAAUUUUCUGAAGAAUAAUUAUAGCACAGCUACCACUUAUUUAUACAUUAUGUGCCAGAAUCAUAUCCUAUAGUCAUAUGAUCCUUAAUCCACAAUCCUGUGAAGGUAGGUACUAUUACCCCUGCUGUAAAAAUUAAAGAAACAAAGGAAGUUAGUUAACUUGCCUAGGUACACGUGGUAGCCAGUAUUGAAACCCAGGACCAUCGUGUGCCAAAAUUCAGCCUCUUUCCAUUAUGUGAAUUUCAUAGGAACAAAUUCCCGUCAUCUACCCAAAACAGUUGUAUUUAGACAUCAUGACGCACCACUGGUUCCUAGAUCAGCUCUUAUUUACUUUCCUUGGACUGUACUUCUAGUCUCUUGAACAAAUCUCUUAUCUAUAUGUUAUUAUUUUUUAACGUAUACAAUGCCGGUUCCUAAUGGCAGAGCCUCUGUUAAGUUGUAGAAUUCUACGGGGAUAAAACAACUAUCUGUCUUACACUACUCAGCCUUUUAAAACAUUUCACUAAUAUUUAUUUUGGAACUGCCAUGAACAGUAUUAUGACAUUAGCUUCCUUAAAAAUUUAGCAUUCACAAUUAGCACUUGAAAUGAGUAGGUCCAGAGAAUGCAUUUUGUUCACUGCUUACAACCAAAUUAUCUCAAGAGGCUAUCAAGAGCUCUUGAGUCAUUUCAUUAGCUAUGUUCUACAUUUAACUGAGCCCCACGCAGACAGAAGGGGGAAAGAGGGGGAAGAGAGACUUAAAAUUUCACUUAAGAAAAAAAUUUUAAUGGCCUGUUCCUUCUCUCUUCCCCUCCCCAAGGUUCUCCACCCUCCCACAUCCGCCCCACCCCCAAACUAAAUAUAGAGACCCAACACCCAAAACCCGGACUUGAAAAUUCCCAAAGUGCUCAUCAGAAAAUCAUUUUAGCAUGGAACACAAAAAUGAAAUGCAACGCUCAACUUCACAUGAGCAGCCACAUGGAAGACGGGAAGUGGGGCGCACCUGAACUUGCUUUAGGAAGUUCUGCACACAGUUACCCUGCUCUGCAGCCGUCUCUUCCUCCCACUGCACAGCACAGGAAAGGCUGAUGCUGAGUUUAACACCAGAGCCCUGGCUUUUCCUACCAUUAAUCGUAAGGGUAGAUCCUGGAUACAGAAAUAUUAAAGGAUCAACAAACAUAAAGUUAGCAAUGAACUCCAAUGAUUUUUUUUCCCCUUUCCCUUUUAUUGAAGGGAGAGAGGAAAAAAAAAGUUUCACAUGGCUUCCUUUUCUUGACCUACGACAAAUUCCAUUAAACUUCAAAAACAAUGCUUUGAGAUGCUGGAGGAUGCAGACAGGAAACUGAAAAAAGACUUUACACAAAAGUUAAAAACGUCUUUUGGGGAGGGAGGGCGGGGACGAGGAAGGUUGACUCUUCACAGAGGGUGCUCACGGCAACUGACAACACACAUAGUUUUGAUGUCACGCGGUAGUGACUGCGGUGCACAGCACUUCGAGAUGGAUUCACGGUUUAGCCGGAGUCAAAGGAAUAUGCAAAUGCCUGUAAAUAAGGAAUGGUUACCCCCAAGUUCAGAUAUUCAUAAAAUGCCCUAUGGAUUAAAUUCCAUCACCUUUUCAAGUUACUUGAAAUCACGGUUUUUGGAAUGAAUGUCAGUCAGCUGUCCAUGCUUCAAUCAUCUUUAAGACAGAAGGAGUCUUCCUGCUACCCACCCCUUUGUUUUCUGGGACACUUAAUUUAUGAGCGUUUAGUGUAACAGCAUAAGCUUCCAAAAAUGGUGUCAUAAAAUUGGGCUUAGACGUCACCAUUAAUAAUUCUGUUAUUAUAAAAUGUAGUAUUUGCAACAAAAGCCAGGUUUAUGUCCGUAUUUCAUCAUUCAUUACCCCUAAAGUUGGGGCCCUUUCGAAACUAGACUCAAAUUAUUCAAAUUCAAGAUUUCAAAAAUGACUGCAGAGUGACUUUCAGCAGUGAUUUGAUUAGGCUACUUUGGGGGAGCGCUCCAACGGUGGUUUUUUAAUUCCGACUUGUUGGCCCCAAAACGCAACAAGGGUUAACCUUGAUCGCAAAAAUCAAGAAACAAAGAUACAGGCCUAUUGUGCAAUAAUCAGCCCGCAUUUCAAUGAAUAAGUAAUAUUUCUCACAAACCCAAGUUAGAUAGUGGAUUUAUUUAACCUCUUGGGGUCAGGUAAUAAAUACUAAGUGAAUUAUUCAGCCCAAUGGCUAAUCAAUACAAUUCCAUGAUAUAUUUUUUGUGUUUCAUAAAAGGUUGUACACUAAAGGCAGUGAGCAAUUAUGGAAAUUGGGCCGGAGCGCCUCUCAAUUCCUCUCCGGCGUGAAGCCCCAGCAGGCCACCUUGACAGCAAAUCGAUUAGUGCUCCAGUGAAGCGGCUCGGCGACCUCUGACCUGCUUCCAGCGUGGCCUGACAGAGCAGAGAGUAUUUUAUAUUUAUUUUAUUGAAUUAACUCCAUCUUGCCUGUACCAGUGCUUUACACAGAUUAGGCAGCAAGCUACAAGCCACUUCAUGGUGGUUGUUUUCCAUCGCUGGGGCGAAGCAAGCCCCGCCUCCUGCCCUGCAGAUUCCUUUGUCCCGGUUUUCCUUUCACUUUUGGCCUCAAUAUAGGAUUUCAGUCCACCCUGAGACUCGUGAUGGAGCUCCAGGUAAUAAAAACCAAGAGGAAAGCACAUAAUCCUCCCGCAGUGUGGUUCCUGCUUACCUGGUCCACUGCGAUCGGUACGCUGGCCCCACUUCUUCCCCUCGUAAAAACAAAAACCACUCACUAAGCCCCAGCUCGACGUGGAGCUCCUUGGAAAACAUAUGCAACAGAGCAUCAAGGAUUGAGGAUAUUUAUUACUGGAAAAUGAAAAACCAGAAGCCUUAGGUAUUUCUCUAUUUGACGUCUAAUUAUAUUAUUGGCUCAUUGAAGCCAUCAAAGACAGAGAAACAGAGAGAGAGAGAGACAGCAGCCAAGCCAGCUGAAUUCAGAACACCGUGUCAUCGAGAGAGCACAUACACACAAAGAAAGGCUCAACCAUCAACAGAAAGCUUAUGGGAAAGAGAAAAUGCCCAAAUCACCAAAAAUGUUUCAGCUGCACUCCUGCUGUAUGGAACAUCAAUAAAAAUCACCAAAAUGAAAAGAAAAAGCCAGGAAGAGACGGAGCGUUCCAAGUCAGAAAAUCCAGUUGGCAGCUCUGGGCAUUAAACAGUAUCAAAGGUUAAAUUAUCAGCAGAAAUUUGAUGCCAUACAUCACAGGAGUGAAGGAUCUUAAACUGUAUUUGAAGGAAGCCAUAGAGAACCAUGAUUGAGUACAUAGAUGCUGCAGUUAAACUACCUGGAUUCAAACCCAGUUUUUCUACUUAACGAGCUGAAGAUUUUGUACAAGCCUCUGCACUUCCCUAAGCUUCCAUCUCCCUCAUCUAUCCAUAAGGAUGACCACAUAGUCUUGUAUGCAACAAGUAAUGUUGGCUAUCAGGUUAUUUAACCAGACCCUAAAAUAAUUUUAUGAGUAGGAAAGAAGUAAUUUUUCAGUCUCAUUUUAUAAGUUGGAGAACUGAAGGAUACGGAGGAUAGAAAUUCACCUUCCAAGUUAUUGCCCUUACCAGUUUCAUGCAUAGAAAAUUGUGGUGAUAACCACCCUCCCCCUCAAAAUAUCUGUCUUGGGUUUGGGGAACCUUGAAUUUCACCUGUAAUGAUUCGGUCCUUGGGUUGACCUCCCCAGGGAUCAAAAAUGGAAGUUCUCCUCCUCCCCCCCAUUCUCCCACUACCCACGCAGUGGUGGAGACCAUGAAACUAUUUUAUUCUAUUCGUAUCACCUUGCCCUGCCAGGAGAGAGCUGGGCCCUGGGGAGCACUGGCCUCAUGUGUGCAGAAUGAGGGACGAGACCGAAGAAAGGGGGUAAGAAGAGGAAGAUUCCAGAGAUGUGCUUCAACUGCUCCACCAUCUUAUCAGUGAUUGACCAGUACUUCCGGAUCCCCUGCUUCUGAUAGGAAGGAAGAUAACCUCAUUGUUUGAAUCUCCCAGCUUCCUUCGCAAUGAGGACCACUGUCACCUUCCCAUCUGUCCCAUCAGAUACCCUUAAAUCCUCUAGCAGAAGAGGACUGGGGUCCAAGUCCAUUUGUAAGAACUGUUUCUGCACAAACGCCCUCCCCUAGGCUCAUGGGCAGCACCUGAGUGACAGAAUAUGCCAAGGCUAUUUUUGAAGGACUUAUCACAGUUCUGGGGGAAACUGGCAGGAAAGAGUACCUUAAUUUUGCCCCUCAUCCUUCAUUGUUCUCUGCUACUUU